rnacentral:lncRNA from 1 species
UUCUCUUCCUCCUCCUCCUUCUUCACUUCUCCCUCUACCUCCUCCUCUUCCUCCUACUCCUUCUUCUCCUCCUUCUCCUCUUCCUUCUUUUUCUCCUCCUUCUCCUAUUUCUCCUCCUCCUCCUCCUCCUCCUUCUCCUCCUCCUCCUCCUCUUUCUCACUUCCCCCCCCUCUUCUUUCUUCUUAGGACACACACAAGUGUCCAGGUUGCCAGGAGCUGGCAUGCAGCGACAGCCUCUCAGAUCCAAGGAACGCGUGAGUUUCAUGUGAUUGAUGGCUGUUGACUGACAGUGGGUUUUGUGGAAUAAUGAGAAGAGUCCCAGUCGGCAAAGGGCUCCAAGAACAAAUGAGCGGUCCGUGCCGUGAACGAGGAGGUUCUCUGUGCAGAGGAGGUGCUGCCUUGGAGGCGUCCCCAGAGCGUGCACCAUCUUCUGAACACCAGCAAGGACAGGGUGGGACACUGAGUCCCUUCCUGUGAAGGAUUUCCCACUGUGGCUUCUGUUUGUUUGAUUGAUGAUUGAUUGUUUCAUUGGUUGGGUUUGGGUUUUUUUUGUGUUGUUUAUCGAGACAGG